rnacentral:rRNA from 1 species
CGCCCUUAGAGUUUGAUUAUGGCUCAGGACGAACGCUGGCGGCGUGCUUAACACAUGCAAGUCGAACGGUGAAGGUCAGCUUGCUGACUGGAUCAGUGGCGAACGGGUGAGUAACACGUGAGCAACCUACCCUUCACUCUGGGAUAAGCCUUGCUUGUGGAAACGAUAGCUAAUACCGCAUAACGUCUUCGGACCAAAGGGGGCUUUCGGGCUCCCGCGCAAAGAGUAGCCUAAGCGAGAUUAGCUUGUUGGUGAGGUAAAGGCUCACCAAGGCGACGAUCUCUAGCUGUUCUGAGAGGAAGAUCAGCCACACUGGGACUGAGACACGGCCCAGACUCCUACGGGAGGCAGCAGUGGGGAAUAUUGCACAAUGGGGGGAACCCUGAUGCAGCCAUGCCGCGUGUGUGAAGAAGGCCUUCGGGUUGUAAAGCACUUUCAGUUGUGAGGAAAGGAAGUUGGUUAAUACCCAGUUUCUGUGACGUUAGCAACAGAAGAAGCACCGGCUAACUCCGUGCCAGCAGCCGCGGUAAUACGGAGGGUGCGAGCGUUAAUCGGAAUUACUGGGCGUAAAGCGCGCGUAGGCGGUUUGUUAAGUCGGAUGUGAAAGCCCCGGGCUCAACCUGGGAAUUGCAUUCGAUACUGGCCGACUAGAGUACGAGAGAGGGAGGUAGAAUUCCACGUGUAGCGGUGAAAUGCGUAGAUAUGUGGAGGAAUACCGGUGGCGAAGGCGGCGUCCUGGCUCGAUACUGACGCUGAGGUGCGAAAGCGUGGGUAGCAAACAGGAUUAGAUCCCCUGGUAGUCCACGCCGUAAACGAUGUCUACUAGCCGUUGGGAGACUUGAUUUCUUAGUGGCGCAGCUAACGCAAUAAGUAGACCGCCUGGGGAGUACGGCCGCAAGGUUAAAACUCAAAUGAAUUGACGGGGGCCCGCACAAGCGGUGGAGCAUGUGGUUUAAUUCGAUGCAACGCGAAGAACCUUACCAGGUCUUGACAUCCUCGGAACUUUCCAGAGAUGGAUUGGUGCCUUCGGGAACUCUGUGACAGGUGCUGCAUGGCUGUCGUCAGCUCGUGUCGUGAGAUGUUGGGUUAAGUCCCGUAACGAGCGCAACCCUUGUCCUUAGUUGCCAGCGCGUAAUGGCGGGAACUCUAAGGAGACUGCCGGUGACAAACCGGAGGAAGGUGGGGACGACGUCAAGUCAUCAUGGCCCUUACGACCUGGGCUACACACGUGCUACAAUGGAACGCACAGAGGGUUGCAACCUCGCGAGGUGGAGCUAAUCUCAGAAAACUUUUCGUAGUCCGGAUUGCACUCUGCAACUCGAGUGCAUGAAGUUGGAAUCCCUAGUAAUCGCGGAUCAGAAUGCCGCGGUGAAUACGUUCCCGGGCCUUGUACACACCGCCCGUCACACCAUGGGAGUGGGUUGUACCAGAAGUGGCUAGCUUAACCUUCGGGAUGGCGGUCACCACGGUGUGAUUCAUGACUGGGGUGAAGUCGUAACAAGGUA